rnacentral:tRNA from 2 species
GCACCCGUAGCUCAAUUGGAUAGAGCGUCUGGCUACGGACCAGAAGGUUCGGGGUUCGAGUCCCUGCGGGUGCGCCA